AAUCUAUGAGUGAUUCACAAAUAGAAGAAGAGAGAAGACUUUGUUAUGUUGGUAUAACUAGAGCUAAAGAAGAGCUAUAUAUGUCAUUGACA
rnacentral:sRNA from 1 species